rnacentral:misc_RNA from 1 species
UGGAAGUAAAAGUCGUAACAAGGUUUCCGUAGGUGAACCUGCGGAAGGAUCAUUAAAUAAAUAUGAAGUCUCCUUUAUUGGAGUUCUUUCAAUUUUACUGUGAACUGUUUUUAAUUGGUGGCAUAUAAGGGGAUGUCUAUACUGGCCAUAAGGGUAGGCUGUAUAGAAUGUUAACCUAGUCACCGUCAAGUUUUUAUACUUGGUACCCUAUUAUUAUUUACCAAAAGAAUUCAGUUUAAAUAAACGUAACAUAGACCUAAAAAAUCUAUAAAACAACUUUUAACAACGGAUCUCUUGGUUCUCGCAUCGAUGAAGAACGUAGCAAAGUGCGAUAACUAGUGUGAAUUGCAUAUUCAGUGAAUCAUCGAGUCUUUGAACGCAACUUGCACUCAUUGGUAUUCCAAUGAGUACGCCUGUUUCAGUAUCAAAAACAACCCAUAUUCAAAAUUAUUUUUUGAAUAGACCUGAGCGUAAGCAGGAACUUUUGUUCUUGAGAUGCUUUAAAUUGACCAAGGCUAGUGCGUUCUGACUGCCCAAUAUUUUUUUUAAUUUAAAAAAGAUAGAAAGCGACUUGAACGGUGUGGCCUCUCAAAUAACCUUUUAAACUUGAUCUGAAAUCAGGUGGGAUUACCCGCUGAACUUAAGCAUAUCAAUAAGCGGAGGA